rnacentral:lncRNA from 1 species
CAUCAACGGCCUCCUCUUAUGUGUUCUUUUCAUCUACGACAACCUGAAAAUAUCACAAAUAUCUUCAUCCUGAACCUGGUCUGCUCUGAUUUGAGCUUCACCAUCACACUUCUAAUCUGGGUUGUUGAUCAUUUACACCACUGGGUGUUUGGGGACUUUGUCUGCAAAUUCAUGACUUCUGCAUAUCUUGUUGGUUUGUACAGCAGUGUCAUUCUGCUGACUGCCAUGACAGUGGAUUGUUUCAUUGCUGUGGUGCUGCACAGUCAAUUAAGUUAAACAUUGAUUCAGUCUGUAAAUACUUUCAUACAAUACAGUUUAUUUAAGUUCACAUCUUCUGCAUAAUUGCUUAAAAUCAUCGCUUACUUUUUCACUUUUUAAUGUUUCAAGCCAAAGAUUUGUACGGGUAAAGAUGUGCAUUUUAAUGCUGCCCUUUCAUUUACUGUUCCUGGAGAUAAUAAAAUCCUGUCAAAAAUCCAGUGAAGCUGUUUCUAUUUUUCUCUUCUCUAUAAAAUGUGUGACAUGUAACAUUAGGUUAGACUGAAAAAUAUUCCAUUGUCAUCAGUUUUCUGUAGUCAAAGUAGAAUGAAGUGUAACCCUAUUAACAUGAUCACCGAGGAAAAACAGUGAGUAAUACCUAGAAAACUCUGAAAGAACAAGAUCGCCGAUACAAGUGAUGCAGAUGAGAUUUCUCCAAAGGAUGGCUGGCCUCUCCCUCAGAGAUAGGGUGAGGAGUUUGGCCAAGGGAAAGGGGCUAAUCCUCCACAUUGAAAGGAUCCGGUUGAGGUGGUUCGGGCCCACCAAAAGGAGACUCCGGGACAGACCCAGGAAAUGCUGGAGUGACUGUAUCUCUCGGCUGAUCUGUGAACACCUUGGUGUUCCCCUGACAAGACAGAGGAGAUGUAUAGGGAGAGGGAGGUCUGGCCUUCUCUGCUUUGACUGCUGUCCCUGCAACCCGGCGAUAACGAUGCCCAAUUUCUGGUGUCACAUGCAGAUGAUAAGAUCUCAGAGAAAUCAGGCUGGUGUGGUCAGAGUGUGGUCCUACAAGGUACUGCAAAGGGUGUGUUUUUUUUAGGGCGGUACUCUAGCUCAACGACAAGACAAACUAUCAGAUAUCUCAAGAACAUCACCGGUUUUUUAAUCAUAGUGCAAUUC